rnacentral:rRNA from 1 species
AACCCUUGUCCUUAGUUACCAGCACGUUAUGUGGGCACUCUAAGGAGACUGCCGGUGACAAACCGGAGGAAGGUGGGGAUGACGUCAAGUCAUCAUGGCCCUUACGGCCUGGGCUACACACGUGCUACAAUGGUCGGUACAAAGGGUUGCCAAGCCGCGAGGUGGAGCUAAUCCCAUAAAACCGAUCGUAGUCCGGAUCGCAGUCUGCAACUCGACUGCGUGAAGUCGGAAUCGCUAGUAAUCGUGAAUCAGAAUGUCACGGUGAAUACGUUCCCGGGCCUU